AGGGCAGCACCACCAGCGGGGUUGUCAACCACCUACGCAAGGGCAUUUGUCAGUGGAAGUGAAGGCCCCGACAAACUGCUGGGGCAAGAAUUUGAUUACUGAAAUAUCGAACGAAGGCCAAACUUCCAUUUCUUUAAUUUCAUGGUGAAACCACAGCACCAGUGUAUCAGUGUGACAUCGCGGAUUUCAAGUAUACAAUGCAGUCCAUCGUAAACCAAUAAAAAAAUUUAAUAGGCCCAAGAAGACACAGUGCAAACCCACGACGUUAUGGCGAGCUGGCGACGGUGUGGCCACAAAGCCGAAGCCGCCCACCUUGGGCGAAGCUGUUCCAGGCUGGAGUUCUCGGCCAUCUACACCCAGCUUCCCU